GCUCCUGAGUGCCAUUGGACAGGUCAUGAGAAGCAGACAAGUGAGUGGCUCUUUCUCAACUAAUGACACCAGAUGAGCCAGAGUAUAGUCCCUCAGGAUCUCUCAAGAUGCAAAAACUAUCACAGCAUGAAAAUUUCUGUAAUUUAAAUUUUCAGUUGAUGUAUAAUUCCUUGUUGUUGAUUUUGAGUCCUCAGACAUUAAACCUGUUGGUUAUAUUUGAACUUUAGAUGAUUAUGGUACAUUAAUGCUUGACUUUUGACUCACCAUUCAAAACUGAAAUAAAUUUUUCUUUUUAUUUUCUUA